CAAGACGGAAAGACCCCGUGAACCUUUACUAUAGCUUGACACUGAACAUUGAGCCUUGAUGUGUAGGAUAGGUGGGAGGCUUUGAAGUGUGGACGCCAGACCUGCACGAAUGGCGUAAUGAUGGCCAGGCUGUCUCCACCCGAGACUCAGUGAAAUUGAACUCGCUGUGAAGAUGCAGUGUACCCGCGGCAAGACGGAAAGACCCCGUGAACCUUUACUAUAGCUUGACACUGAACAUUGAGCCUUGAUGUGUAGGAUAGGUGGGAGGCUUUGAAGUGUGGACGCCAG
rnacentral:rRNA from 1 species